rnacentral:rRNA from 1 species
CCUACGGGGGGCAGCAGUGGGGAAUAUUGCACAAUGGGGGAAACCCUGAUGCAGCGACGCCGCGUGAGUGAAGAAGUAUUUCGGUACGUAAAGCUCUAUCAGCAGGGAAGAAAAUGACGGUACCUGACUAAGAAGCCCCGGCUAACUACGUGCCAGCAGCCGCGGUAAUACGUAGGGGGCAAGCGUUAUCCGGAUUUACUGGGUGUAAAGGGAGCGUAGACGGCAGCGCAAGUCUGGAGUGAAAUCCCAUGGCUUAACCAUGGAACUGCUUUGGAAACUGUGCAGCUAGAGUGCAGGAGAGGUAAGCGGAAUUCCUAGUGUAGCGGUGAAAUGCGUAGAUAUUAGGAGGAACACCAGUGGCGAAGGCGGCUUACUGGACUGUAACUGACGUUGAGGCUCGAAAGCGUGAGGAGCAAACAGGAUUAGAUACCCCUGUAGUC